rnacentral:rRNA from 1 species
GGGGAAUCUUGCACAAUGGGCGAAAGCCUGAUGCAGCGACGCCGCGUGGGGGAUGACGGCCUUCGGGUUGUAAACCCCUUUCAGCAGGGAAGAAGCGAGAGUGACGGUACCUGCAGAAGAAGCGCCGGCUAACUACGUGCCAGCAGCCGCGGUAAUACGUAGGGCGCAAGCGUUGUCCGGAAUUAUUGGGCGUAAAGAGCUCGUAGGCGGUUUGUCACGUCUGCUGUGAAAACCCGAGGCUCAACCUCGGGCCUGCAGUGGGUACGGGCAGAUUAGAGUGCGGUAGGGGAGACUGGAAUUCCUGGUGUAGCGGUGGAAUGCGCAGAUAUCAGGAGGAACACCGAUGGCGAAGGCAGGUCUCUGGGCCGCAACUGACGCUGAGGAGCGAAAGCAUGGGGAGCGAAC